rnacentral:rRNA from 1 species
UACGUAGGUGGCAAGCGUUGUCCGGAUUUACUGGGCGUAAAAGAGCGCGCAGGCGGUCGUUCAAGUCGCGUGUGAAAAGCCCCCCCGGCUCAACUGGGGGAGGGUCACGCGAUACUGAUCGACUCGAAAGGCAGGAGAGGGUAGUGGGAAAUUUCCCCGGGUGUAGUGGUGAAAAUGCGUAGAUAUCGGGAGGAACACCAGUGGCGAAGGGCGACUACCCUGGCUGUUCUUGACGCUGAGGCGCGAAAGCGUGGGGAGCAAACAGG